UACGUAGGGGGCAAGCGUUCUCCGGAUUUACUGGGUGUAAAGGGAGCGCAGGCGGCGUGCCAAGUCUGGUGUGAAAGCCCGGGGCCCAACCCCGGAACUGCAUUGGAAACUGGCAAGCUGGAGUACUGGAGGGGCAGGCGGAAUUCCUGGUGUAGCGGUGAAAUGCGUAGAUAUCAGGAGGAACACCGGUGGCGAAGGCGGCCUGCUGGACAGAGACUGACGCUGAGGCUCGAAAGCGUGGGGAG
rnacentral:rRNA from 1 species